rnacentral:rRNA from 1 species
AUUGAACGCUGGCGGCAUGCCUUACACAUGCAAGUCGAACGGUAACAGGUCUUCGGAUGCUGACGAGUGGCGAACGGGUGAGUAAUACAUCGGAACGUGCCCGAUCGUGGGGGAUAACGAGGCGAAAGCUUUGCUAAUACCGCAUACGAUCUACGGAUGAAAGCGGGGGAUCUUCGGACCUCGCGCGGACGGAGCGGCCGAUGGCAGAUUAGGUAGUUGGUGGGAUAAAAGCUUACCAAGCCGACGAUCUGUAGCUGGUCUGAGAGGAUGAUCAGCCACACUGGGACUGAGACACGGCCCAGACUCCUACGGGAGGCAGCAGUGGGGAAUUUUGGACAAUGGGCGAAAGCCUGAUCCAGCCAUGCCGCGUGCAGGAUGAAGGCCUUCGGGUUGUAAACUGCUUUUGUACGGAACGAAAAGCCUCUUUCUAAUAAAGAGAGGUCAUGACGGUACCGUAAGAAUAAGCACCGGCCAACUACGUG